GCACAGUCUGGAUGGCUUAUAAGCAGAAAUUUAUUUGUCUCAAUUCUUGUGGCUGGAAGUCCCAACCAAGAUCAGGGUGCCAGCCUCGUUCAGUUCUGGUGCAGACUGUUUUUGCAGAUAGAAGUCUUACAUCGUAUCCUUGUAUGGCAGAAAGAGGGUUGUACAAAGGUGAAGAUGUCCUGACUAUGGUAGAUCUCAUUCUGGGCUGUUAGAUCAUCAACAGGAGGGUCAUUGUGAGUCACUGCUGCGAUGUCAUGAAAUAGGACAUUCUCCCUCCAUUGCACUGAUCUCAACGGCUCCUUUCUACACGAAGAACUGGAGGUUAAUGGGAGAUGGCAGCCCAUGGCAGAAACAAAGAUGCUCAUGGUGAGUCACCUUCAGUAGGGAGUGCAGUAAGUUUCCUUGUAACAGCUUUGCAGGUAACUGGACUUGCUUAGAAGGAGCAGCCAGAUUAGAAAAGAUAGACUUGGCAGGUAUUCGUAUGGUAAUUACAUCUGACUCACUGGCAUAAGGGACACAUUUUUUUGGGGGGGGGGGUUUGGAGUAGAAUUUCCUGAUGUAAGUAGGAUGUAUUCUGAAGGACGAAGUAUCUUACCUGAGGAAUGUUGAGUAUGGAACCAUUGUAACGUGGUAUAAAUUUAUAUACGUCUUAUUUGUAGCCACAGGCAUAGCAAGGUUGGCGAUCUCAUGGUUACAUAUUUAAAAAAAAUAACAGGCCUGGUGCAGUGGGUCACACCUGUAAUCCCCACACUUU